rnacentral:tRNA from 1 species
GCCAGAGUGACAUAGUGGUUUGAUUGUUGGAAUACAACUCUGGAGACCAGUGUUCGAUUCACUACUCAGUCA